ensembl:snoRNA small nucleolar RNA SNORA43
GGAGUAAUGGACCUACCAGCAUCAUGGGCACAGCCACUCCUCUGUUUCUGUGACUUUAGGGCAAAGAGCAACCAGCUAUUUCUAUGCUCAGUGUUUGGGGACCAGUGAGCACUGAGAAUGGAUUAUAGCCUGACAUUC